GGAGUGUGGGGUGUCUGUGCUAUGGCAGCCCUAGCACACAGAUACGCCCAGAGAAAGCCUGAACGUUGGGCGUAUCUGUAUGCUAGGGCUGCUGUAACAAUGUACCACAAACUGGGUG
rnacentral:precursor_RNA from 1 species